rnacentral:sRNA from 1 species
GGCCUACCCCAUAGCUAUUGCUGUGGCAGGGUCGAAAAUCCCGAUGAAGAUACUGAACCCCACGUUCAGCGACUCUUCAUCGGGUCAUAUCGGGAAACCGGUAUGUGGUCGCAAGACC